rnacentral:rRNA from 1 species
CUGCUGCCUCCCGUAGGAGUCUGGGCCGUGUCUCAGUCCCAAUGUGGCCGCCAACCCUCUCAGUCCGGCUACUGAUCGUCGCCUUGGUGGGCCGU